rnacentral:rRNA from 1 species
UACGUAGGGUCCGAGCGUUGUCCGGAAUUAUUGGGCGUAAAGGGCUCGUAGGCGGUUCGUCACGUCGGGAGUGAAAACUCGGAGCUUAACUCCGAGCCUGCUUCCGAUACGGGCAGACUAGAGGUAGGCAGGGGAGAGCGGAACUCCUGGUGUAGCGGUGGAAUGCGCAGAUAUCAGGAAGAACACCGGUGGCGAAGGCGGCUCUCUGGGCCUUACCUGGCGCUGAGGAGCGAAAGCGUGGGGAGCGAACAGG